rnacentral:rRNA from 1 species
CAGCCGCCGCGGGAAUACAGAGGGUGCGAGCGUUAAUCGGAUUUACUGGGCGUAAAGCGUGCGUAGGCGGCUAAUUGAGUCGGAUGUGAAAUCCCCGAGCUUAACUUGGGAAUUGCAUUCGAUACUGGUUAGCUAGAGUGUGGGAGAGGAUGGUAGAAUUCCAGGUGUAGCGGUGAAAUGCGUAGAGAUCUGGAGGAAUACCGAUGGCGAAGGCAGCCAUCUGGCCUAACACUGACGCUGAGGUACGAAAGCAUGGGGAGCAAACAGGAUUAGAUACCCGGGUAGUCCCUGUCUCUUAUAC